UACGGAGGGUGCGAACGUUAAUCGGAAUCACUGGGCGUAAAGCGCGCGUAGGCGGUUCGUUAAGUGGGAUGUGAAAUCCCCGGGCUUAACCUGGGAAUUGCAUUUCAAACUGGCCGACUAGAGUACGGUAGAGGGAGGUAGAAUUUCCUGUGUAGCGGUGAAAUGCGUAGAUAUAGGAAGGAAUACCAGUGGCGAAGGCGGCCUCCUGGACCGGCAUUGACGCUGAGGCGCGAAAGCCAGGGGAGCAAACGGG
rnacentral:rRNA from 1 species